rnacentral:rRNA from 1 species
GAUGAACGCUGGCGGCGUGCCUAAUACAUGCAAGUCGAGCGAACAGAUGAGGAGCUUGCUCCUCUGACGUUAGCGGCGGACGGGUGAGUAACACGUGGAUAACCUACCUAUAAGACUGGGAUAACUUCGGGAAACCGGAGCUAAUACCGGAUAAUAUAUUGAACCGCAUGGUUCAAUAGUGAAAGACGGUUUUGCUGUCACUUAUAGAUGGAUCCGCGCCGCAUUAGCUAGUUGGUAAGGUAACGGCUUACCAAGGCAACGAUGCGUAGCCGACCUGAGAGGGUGAUCGGCCACACUGGAACUGAGACACGGUCCAGACUCCUACGGGAGGCAGCAGUAGGGAAUCUUCCGAAAUGGGCGAAAGCCUGACGGAGCAACGCCGCGUGAGUGAUGAAGGUCUUCGGAACGUAAAACUCUGUUAUUAGGGAAGAACAAAUGUGUAAGUAACUAUGCACGUCUUGACGGUACCUAAUCAGAAAGCCACGGCUAACUACGUG